rnacentral:tRNA from 1 species
GCCGAAGUGGCGGAAUUGGCAGACGCGCGCGACUCAAAAUCGCGAGUCCUCUGGACGUGUGGGUUCGAUUCCCACCUUCGGCACAA